GACGAAGGGGGCUAGCGUUGUUCGGAAUUACUGGGCGUAAAGGGCGCGCAGGCGGCUCUACAAGUCAGGCGUUAAAGCCCCAGGCUCAACCUGGGGAAUGCGCUUGAUACUGUGGGGCUUGAGAUCGGAAGAGGAGAGUGGAAUUCCCAGUGUAGAGGUGAAAUUCGUAGAUAUUGGGAAGAACACCAGUGGCGAAGGCGGCUCUCUGGUCCGAUUCUGACGCUGAGGCGCGAAAGCGUGGGGAGCAAACAGG
rnacentral:rRNA from 1 species